CCUACGGGUGGCAGCAGUGGGGAAUAUUGCACAAUGGGGGAAACCCUGAUGCAGCGACGCCGCGUGAGUGAAGAAGUAUUUCGGUACGUAAAGCUCUAGCAGCAGGGAAGAAAAACCGGCCGUAGGGCCGCCAGACGGUACCUGACGAAGAAGCCCCGGCUAACGACGUGCCAGCAGCCGCGGUAAUACGUAGGGGGAAAGCGUUCUCCGGAUUGACUGGGGGUAAAGGGAGCGGAGACGGCAGCGCAAGUCGGGAGUGAAAUGCCGGGGCCCAACCCCGGAACGGCUUUGGAAACUGUGCAGCUGGAGUGCAGGAGCGGUAAGCGUACUUCCUCGUGUAGCGGUG
rnacentral:rRNA from 1 species